UGGGGAAUAUUGCACAAUGGGGGAAACCCUGAUGCAGCGACGCCGCGUGAGCGAUGAAGUAUUUCGGUAUGUAAAGCUCUAUCAGCAGGGAAGAAGAUGACGGUACCUGACUAAGAAGCCCCGGCUAACUACGUGCCAGCAGCCGCGGUAAUACGUAGGGGGCAAGCGUUAUCCGGAUUUACUGGGUGUAAAGGGAGCGUAGACGGCGGCGCAAGCCAGAUGUGAAAGCCCGGGGCUCAACUCCGGGACUGCAUUUGGAACUGUGUGGCUGGAGUGUCGGAGAGGCAGGCGGAAUUCCUAGUGUAGCGGUGAAAUGCGUAGAUAUUAGGAGGAACACCAGUGGCGAAGGCGGCCUGCUGGACGAUGACUGACGUUGAGGCUCGAAAGCGUGGGGAGCAAACAGG
rnacentral:rRNA from 1 species